GGCUCAGAACGAACGCUGGCGGCAGGCCUAAAACAUGCAAGUUGAACGGCUGUAGCAAUACAGCAGUAGCGCACGGGUGAGUAAUAUAUGGGAACAUGUCUUUUGGUGGGGAAUAUUCUCUGGAAACGGAGAGCAAUACCGCAUAAGCCCUACGGGGGAAAGAUUUAUCGCCGAUAGAGUGGCCCAUAUUGGAUUAGCUAGUUGGUUGGGUAACGGCUGACCAAGGCGACGAUCCAUAGCUGAUCUGAGAGGAUGAUCAGCCACACUGGGACUGAGACACGGCCCAGACUCCUACGGGAGGCAGCAGUUAGGAAUAUUGGACAAUGGGGGCAACCCUGAUCCCAGCCAUGCCGCGUGAGUGUUAAGGCCUUCGGGUUGUAAAGCUCUUUUGUAUGGGAAAAUGAUGAUGGUACCAUAAGAAUAAGCACCGGCUAACUUCGUGCCAGCCGCGGC
rnacentral:rRNA from 1 species